GUGAGGAAUAUUGGACAAUGGGCGCAAGCCUGAUCCAGUCAUGCCGCGUGCAGGAAGACGCAUCUAUGGUGUGUAAACUGCUUUUGUACGGGAAGAAACACUCCCUCGUGAGGGAGCUUGACGGUACCGUAAGAAUAAGGAUCGGCUAACUCCGUGCCAGCAGCCGCGGUAAUACGGAGGAUCCAAGCGUUAUCCGGAAUCAUUGGGUUUAAAGGGUCCGUAGGCGGUUUAAUAAGUCAGGGGUGAAAGCCAAUCGCUCAACGAUGGAACGGCCAUUGAUACUGUUAGACUUGAAUUACAAGGAAGUAACUAGAAUAUGUAGUGUAGCGGUGAAAUGCUUAGAUAUUACAUGGAAUACCAAUUGCGAAGGCAGGUUACUACUUGUGGAUUGACGCUGAUGGACGAAAGCGUGGGGAGCGAACAGGAUUAGAUACCCGAGUAGUCC
rnacentral:rRNA from 1 species